rnacentral:rRNA from 1 species
UACGUAGGGGGCAAGCGUUGUCCGGAAUCAUUGGGCGUAAAGCGCGCGUAGGCGGCCCGAUAAGUCCGCUGUAAAAGUCAACGGCUCAACUGUUGAACGCCGGUGGAUACUGUCGGGCUAGAGUCCGGAAGAGGCAAGUGGAAUUCCUGGUGUAGCGGUGAAAUGCGCAGAUAUCAGGAGGAACACCGGUGGCGAAGGCGGAUCUCUGGGCCUUACCUGACGCUCAGGUGCGAAAGCUAGGGGAGCGAACAGG